rnacentral:rRNA from 1 species
CACGUAGGGCGCGAGCGUUGUCCGGAAUUAUUGGGCGUAAAGAGCUCGUAGGCGGCCUGUUGCGUCCGCUGUGAAAGCCCGGGGCUUAACCCAGGAAGUGCACUCGAAACUGGCGGGCUUGAAUAUGGAAGAGGGUCGCGGAAUUCCCGGUGUAGAGGUGAAAUUCGUAGAUAUCGGGAGGAACACCAGUGGCGAAGGCGGCGACCUGGGCCAAUAUUGGACGCUGAAGG